UCUCCCGUGGGCUCUGGCACACCCCUGGGGCUGUCUGGGGUCUGCACAAUUACACCAGGGCUGUCCCAGAGCCACAGGGCUCCUGUCCUGGACCCCUCCCAUGGCCCAGGCCACUGCAGCUUCCCUUCCCCUGUCCCCGGGCUGGCACUGCCUUGUCCCACCCCAGCUAACGCUGGCAGCACAGGAGGCCUGGAAGUGUGUCCUGGGUGUGCUGAGGGGUUGUGGGGACAUUAAAAUACAUUCCCUGACAGGGAUCCACCCAGGAGCCUCCAGCCAGGAGUGCAGAGCUGUGGCUCUGCUCCCCUGCAGGAAGUGGGACAUGGGAUCCUGCAGGAUCUGACAGGGGCAUCCUGGGAGAUGAAGUCCUUGGGAUCUGGCCCCGCAACGCAGACAAGGCAGACGUGAACUGUGCCUGUGUGACCCACGCCGGGCUCAACAUCGUCACGGGGGAUGACUUCGGGCUUGUGAAGCUCUUUGACUUCCCCUGCACAGAAAAAUUUGCCAAACACAAGCGGUACUUUGGGCACUCGGCGCACGUCACCAACAUCCGCUUCUCCCACGACGACAAGUAUGUGGUGAGCACCGGGGGAGAUGACUGCAGGUAAGGCCGGGCUUGGUUUGGAGUUCAGCUGGGGCUGCACUCACACAGAGACACACACACACACACACAGAGACGCACACAC